rnacentral:misc_RNA from 1 species
UGUGGGAGCGGGCUUGCCCGCGAUAGCGGUGGGUCAGCUGACAUCAAUGCUGGAGUGAUGCCGCCAUCGCGGGCAAGCCCGCUCCCACA